rnacentral:rRNA from 1 species
AUGUACGUUUGCGGUCUCAAGAGACGGUCUAGGCAAAUCCGGACCGAUAGUCUCAAGGGAUUGUGAAGAGAUGAAGCCGCAAGGUGGAAUCAAUUUAAGCGGAGGAACUGACUAGAAAAACCUCUAGGGCUAAGGCAACAGUAAUCGUACCGUAAACCGACACAGGUGGGUGAGGCGAGAAGCCUCAGAUGUACGAGAGAAACUUCGUUAAGGAACUCGGCAAAACAGCGGCCGUAAUUUAGAGAUAAGGCCUGCCCUGAGCAAUCAGGGCCGCAGCUAAAGAGCCCAAGGGACUGUUUAUCAAAAACAUAGCUCUCUGCUAACUCGUAAGAGGAUGUAUAGAGGGUGAUGCCUGGCCAGUGUCCGAACGUUAAGAGGAGAGGUUAGCCGUAAGGCGAAGCUUUGAAUCCAAGCGCGGAUGAACGCCGGCGAUAACUAUAAUCGUCCUAAGGUAGCGAAAUUCCUUGUCGGGUAAGUUCCGACCUGCACGAAUGGCUUAACCACUUGGGCACUGUCUCAACGAAGUACUCGGUGAAAUUGCAAGACGAGUAAAGAUGCUCGUUAACCACAGUUGGACGAAAAGACCCCGUGGAGCUUUACUACAACUUGAUAUUGAAUUAGGGAUACACAUGUUCAGAAUAGGUGGGAGCCUUCGGGCGCCAGUGAGAUACCACUCUUGUUUAUUUUUAAUUCUAACCUCGAGAUUCGAGGGACAGUGUCUGGUGGGUAGUUUGUCUGGGGCGGAUGCCUCCCAAAAAGUAACGGAGGCGUUUACCAAGGUCGGCUAUCCCGGAAUGGAAACCCGGGAGAUAGCGUAAAGGCACAAGCCGGCUUUACUGCGAGACCUACAAGUCAAGCAGUCGCGAAAGCGGAACUUAGUGAUCCGACCAUUCAAUAUAGGAUGGUGGAAGCUCAUCGGAUAAAAGCUACUCCGGGGAUAACAGGCUAGUCAGGUCCAAGAGUCCACAUCGACGACCUGGUUCGGCACCUCGAUGUCGGCUCGUCGCAUCCUGGGGGUGGAGAAGCUCCCAAGGGUUGGGCUGUUCGCCCAUUAAAGCGGCACGCGAGCUGGGUUCAGACCGUCGUAAGACAGGUCGGUCUCCUAUCCACUGUGGUCGUGGAAACUUGAAGAGGCCCUUCCUUAGUACGAGAGGACCGGGAAGGACGAAGCUCUAGUGUACCUGCUGUUCUACCAAGGGCAUUGCAGGGUAGCUACCUUCGGUUAAGAUAAGCGCUGAAAGCAUCUAAGCGCGAAGCUGUCUCUAAGAUUAGGUUUCAUAGACUGGUUAGAGAAUAUGACCUUGAUAGGCCGUACGUGUAAGUCCAGUAAUGGAUUGAGCGGAGCGGUACUAAUAAGCCGUUUGAUUUUCCCA